AUUGAACGCUGGCGGCAUGCUUUACACAUGCAAGUCGAACGGCAGCGCGGGCUUCGGCCUGGCGGCGAGUGGCGAACGGGUGAGUAAUGCAUCGGAACGUGCCCAGUAGUGGGGGAUAGCCCGGCGAAAGCCGGAUUAAUACCGCAUACGACCUGAGGGUGAAAGCGGGGGACCGAAAGGCCUCGCGCUAUUGGAGCGGCCGAUGUCGGAGUAGCUAGUUGGUGAGGUAAAGGCUUACCAAGGCGACGAUCCGUAGCUGGUCUGAGAGGGCGACCGGCCACACGGGGAGUGAUACACGGCCCAGACGCAUACGGGAGGCAGCAGUAGGGAAUCGGGCGCAAGGGGCGAAAGCCUGACGGAGCAACGCCGCGGGAGGGAUGAAGGUCUUCGGAUCGCAAAACGCUGUUAGUAGGGAAGAACAUAUGUGGAAGUAACUGUGCACAUCUUGGCGGUACCGAAACAGAAAGCCACGGCUAACUACGUG
rnacentral:rRNA from 1 species